rnacentral:rRNA from 1 species
CGGAGGGAUCAUUACUGAGUUUACGCUCUACAACCCUUUGUGAACAUACCUAUAACUGUUGCUUCGGCGGGUAGGGUCUCCGUGACCCUCCCGGCCUCCCGCCCCCGGGCGGGUCGGCGCCCGCCGGAGGAUAACCAAACUCUGAUUUAACGACGUUUCUUCUGAGUGGUACAAGCAAAUAAUCAAAACUUUUAACAACGGAUCUCUUGGUUCUGGCAUCGAUGAAGAACGCAGCGAAAUGCGAUAAGUAAUGUGAAUUGCAGAAUUCAGUGAAUCAUCGAAUCUUUGAACGCACAUUGCGCCCGCCAGCAUUCUGGCGGGCAUGCCUGUUCGAGCGUCAUUUCAACCCUCAAGCUCUGCUUGGUGUUGGGGCCCUACAGCUGAUGUAGGCCCUCAAAGGUAGUGGCGGACCCUCCCGGAGCCUCCUUUGCGUAGUAACUUUACGUCUCGCACUGGGAUCCGGAGGGACUCUUGCCGUAAAACCCCCAAUUUUCCAAAGGUGA